GUUGUUACAGGGUGGUAUAGCUUCACCAGCGGCCCCCUUUCCCGAGGGAGUUCCCUGCUCUCCCCUGCUAGAGGGGCACCCUAAUCCGCUCACCCCAUCCGACCUCAGAAUGUAUUCGUUGGGUUCAGCAACUCACCACCAGCAUCCAACCAAAUCCAGCGGACCAACUGCGCCUCAACUUAGUUCCAGGUCAGCUCGCAAGUUGAGUAUCUCGUCCUACACUGACCAUAACAUGGGGGGCCGCCUACCAUUUCGACCCCUCUCUCACACCCGGGAGGACGGUAGACGGUUUUGAACCCGGAUACUCAGGGAGCAGAAGUCAGGCCUUAGGGCCCCUCUGCCAACCGCCUGCCCUAUGUAUGUAUGUUUGUGGAUAGGUAAAUAUGUGUUGUGCUCGCAUUAUUCAUACAACCAAUUGACAGCGGACCAAAACUAAUGUGUAUUGAUCUAGUGAGGAGGCGGUUUCCUGAGCACUACUAGUACCUGGCACCAGCUUGCACCUACAUUUGCAAGUCGUCACCAGCAUUUUGUUGCCGUUUGCUCUGCCAAUAGCCCCUGAACAGGACACCACCAUUGAACCAGUCGGUCGGCACGGUAAGCUUGGAUUCAAACAAUCAAGUGAUACCUUUCCGAAUUUGGAGUUUAAGAAGCUAGCAGCUGAAGGAGGCCUUAUCAAGGUUAAGCAAAAAGGAAUGAAAGCUGUUCAUGGUGCACCUGUACAUAAUAAAAGGAAAGAGAUGUAACGUUGCAAGGGACUAACUUAAAAAAGCAAGGCACUAUGGCUAAUGGUAUCGGUUGUAAGUUGUAAAAUGAAAAUAAUAAAAAUAUGUUUUAACAGUAAGGUUAAUUUACUAC
rnacentral:lncRNA from 1 species